GCAUAUUUUUGACACCUAGCAGAGGAACAAAUGACACCUAGCAUAUUUACCCUAACUUACACUUUCUUUCCCAAAUUUCCUGCAACUUCCCUAGCAGUUCAUCAUCUAAAAAAUCCAAACCAACUUUUCUUUUCAUCUCAAUUCCUCACCUCAACGAUUCUAAUCAAACUCGUUUCAAUGUCUUCUUACAACUUUUACGAGAUAUCUACAAGACAUUAACAGUUCUCUUCUAAAAAUCAUCUGAUUAUACUUAUUUACUAUAUUCCUACAUUUGUUAGGUUCUAUAUGGAUUAUUUAAGAUAACUGGGAUUCCACUUGAACUGUUUGAUGAGUUGUCAGCGAGGAAUUUGGCUAUUUGGAAUGUGAUGAUACGUGGGUUUUGAAGGGAUAAAGGUUGAGUAUGUUAUUUCAUGAAACUCUCUGGUUUCUAUUUAUGCAAACAAUAAUUCAGCAUGAGUUUAGGAAUGAGUAAAGACGAAAUCUAGAGUUCUCUGAUACUAGAGGUAGAAAGUUGAACUUUAUUAGUGUUUUUCACUUGAGUUGGUAAUUAAAUUAAAUUUUAAACAGUUUAAGAGAAAUGAAAAAUAUGAAGUUUGUAUAUUCUACGAUUCAUAAUAUUUGAAGGUAUUUGAAGGUGUUGGUGUUAGUUGUCAACAAGAUUUUAGGAACUAUAAUAGGAAUAUAGUUAUUAAUUGUUAA